UCCCCUAGUACGGCGAGUGAAGCGGGAAGAGCUCAGAUUUGUAAUCUGGCUGGCNUUGCGUCGGUCCGAGUUGUAAUCUGCAGAAACGUGUUCCGUGUCGGGCCCCUGCCCAAGUCUGUUGGAAUACAGCGCCUCUGAGGGUGAGAGCCCCGUUGGUGGCAGGGGAUUAUUCCCGGCGCUUUGCGUCGCGUUUUCUAAGAGUCGUGUUGUUUGAGAUUGCAGCACUAAUGGGUGGUAAACUCCAUCUAAGGCUAAAUAUUUGCGAGAGACCGAUAGCGAACAAGUACCGUGAGGGAAAGAUGAAAAGCACUUUGGAAAGAGAGUCAAACAGCGCGUGAAAUUGUUGAAAGGGAAACGCUUGAAAUCAGUCAUGCCUCUGGGGAUUCGGCCCUCGUGGGUUCAUUUCCGCCUUUGGCAGGUCAGCGUCGGUUUCGGGGGCCGGCGAAUGGGAUCGGGAACGUGGCUCGGCCUCGCGGCCGGGUGUUAUAGCCCUUUUCUGGAUACGGCUUCUGGGACCGGGGGCCGCGGCGUGCCCGGUAAGGGUAAGGGUGGCUCGUCCCCCUUUUUGCGUCUAGGAUGUUGGCGUAAUGGUUUUAAUCGACCCGUCUUGAAACACGGACCAAGGAGUCUAACAUGCCCGCGAGUGUUUGGGUGUCCGAAACCCCCUUACGCGCAGCGAAAGCGAAUUAUCUAGUUGUAACAGGCGAGACCCGCGAGGUGCAUCGUCGACCGACCCCAAGAGCUAUUGCGACGGGNUCGAGUAUGAGCGG
rnacentral:rRNA from 1 species